UGUGAAGCAGCAAUGCAAAUAGUUUUAUGGUUGGGGGUCAUCACAACAUGAGGAACUGUACUAAAGGAUGCAUUAGGACGGUUGAGAAUAACUGCUCUGUAGAGUCCUUCAGAGUCUCACUGAAGCAUGGAGAGAAGGUUUUGCUUCUCUGCAUUGCCCCUGUGUCUCAGAAGGGUCAAUGCAUAGAUUAUCUCCUUACCUACAAGAAUCAUUUCCCGAAUCAUUUUCAUGUCAGAUAAAUGCAUAACUAGGGGGUCUUCUUGGGUACCCAGCUCUUUCCCUCUGUACUGAUAUAACGUACACCAUCAUCAGCCAGAUCCCCUAAAGGGUAAAGAAAUGGGGAAAGGAGGUAUGUCAGAGCAGCAAACUCCAGGCUGAAUGUGGAUCAAGUGUAUAAUAUAUCCCCAGGUUUGUUUUAUCUUUGGAGCUGAAGUCAAAGGUAGAUUACAAGGACUUUGAUCCCCCUUAACCACCAUCAUUCCACACAAUCUCCACUCCCAACGCACGGGGAAUAAAAAGAGAGGCUCACUAAGCAUAUACGUCAUCAAAAUAAGUCUUCUACUCCUGUACACUGUGAGGGGAGAUCGAUCUGUGAGUGCCCCAGCAGCGUGUGGAGUCCCUCGCUAACUCUGGAUAACAUCAAAACUGCAUUACAUUGUAGGAAGCUCAGAUAGUGCCAGAACUAGUUGGUGUCAGAAGAGAAAUAGCUUUCCCAUCUUGCGUCAGAAGCAUCGCCAGGGAGAAAAACCCUUGUAUUUCCACAUUUCUCUUUAGUGACAGUCUACAUCAACACUUUUGAUGAAUAACUCACUGGACCAAGCUGUAGCCCUUCCAUUAUGGGAUAUAUUUAGCUAACCAUUCCCCGAGCGACAAUCUGUCAUCCCUAAUAGUGAUAAGAACUAACAUUUGUGCAGCACCUGUGUGUCGGGAUGUCGGCCAAGCCUUUCCACGUAUGGCUCAUUUAACACUAAUAGCAUUUGAGGUUGAUACUGCCAUCUGCAUUCAUAGAUGGGUUAACUGAGGCACAGGGAAGCGGUUUAACUUGCCCCAGAUGUUAGCAAGUAGGAGAGUUGAGAAAAACAACAACAAAAAACUCUAGACACUGUAGCUUCAGUAUGGCCCUCACCACUGAGAACCUGUUCUCCUCCUCCUGUUUCUUCUCCUUACCAAGUAUGCAAAGGCCAGGUGCUGAGAGCCUUCCAGAUGUCUCCAUAGCACCCCAUAGAGCCCAGGCUCUCACAGCUUCUCUAUGUAUUCUUCUAAAGAGCCAAUAACCGAAUCUGUAUCCCAAAUAUGGACACUUGAAAUGUGGGUGCUGCCAAGAAAAUAACUAGGCUGUCUACAAUUUGCCAGAAGCCACAAUUUCUGGCCCAGAACCCAUUUGGCCACUAGGAACCCAGGCACGCUGUAAUCUCCCCAAACCUUGCAUUGCUGGCCACUACAAACCAGCAUAGAAGGGCAGCAGAGUUAGUGAGACUUUCUUAGUGAUCCCACUCUUUCCACAAAGUUCCUUUCCUUUCUUUAGUCAGUGUUUACCUACCACAGACUUAAUUAUCUGCUCUAGAAUUGUCCCAGUAGUUGACAGCAUAAUCACUUAUAUUUAUCUUAAUCACUAAUAACAAUUUGGCCAUGAGACAUCUUUUUGGCAUCCAACUAAAUUUUCUGUGAAUAUGUUGGCCAUCGUCCUUCAGUCCAUUUUUUUUUUAUUUUUUGCGUUUUUCCAAUCCUUGAAAGUGAAUUCUCUGUGUCACCAGGAAGAACACUAGUGUGGAACAGCCAGGACCCUUGAUGAAGCUCCUGGCCCCAUUGGAGCUCUGCGUGCUACACUGCACCACUACAUGCCUCACUCAGAUCUCACUUCCCAAUGGAAGUUGGAAACACAUUCAAUCAGAGUUGGGUCUUGUGAGCCCCACUCUGUGACCAUCGCACCAAGAAUGGGUAGGCAGCAUUCAUUUUCAGUCUCUGGGGGCAUCCUUUCGAGGGCUUGUUCUCAUUCUUAUAUUUCUGGAGCUAAGUGCACCUCAUUUGUAGGGCCCUCGAUUCUAAGUUUGCAUUUGUCUUUGGUGAUAACUCUUGAAGGAAAGACAUUUUUGAAAAAUCAAGAGUCCAAAUUGGCUUGUCUAUGACCUCAGGCAGUUCAUUUAACUUCCCCGAGGCUCACUCUCCUCAACUGGGAAAUGAGAGAAACUUCAUUUGUUUUAUAGGGCGAUUAGGAUGAUUGAGUGCAAAUAGUCAGCCAGGAUGCCUGGUGCAUUGAAGAUGUUCUGCAAACGUUUGCUUUGUUCUAGCAAGCCAGCCUCCACACUCCAACCAUGCAGAUUAUUUUCUGUUGAGAGCUCUGAGGACUCUCCAUUGUCACCCCCUUCUCACUAGCAAUCAUCUUUCUUGAGAGUAUGACUAAGGACUGCCAUGCCCAUCUUUCUUUCCCUGUUCACUUAAAAAUGUCAAUGGACUGUCUGUGCUUAAACGUUCUUGACGAUCCCCUGAUAAACUUAGAUCUUGAAGGAAGGCAGUUUUGCCCUUGGAACCCACACUUCUGCCAUCACAACAUCUCAAGAAUCAAAGGACUUUUGCUCUGAAAGUCCACUUCAUGGCAGAAUCGUUACCCAUAAUAAUGAUAGGUCUGGACAAAAUAAUCUUCCCAGUGUGAGGCAGCCAAAUCCCUUGGCCUAGAAAUCAGGCUUAAUUGGAAAUUAAAUUGCAUUUCCAUGCCACCUGCGGGAUGCCUCUAUCCACAGCUAAUUUAUCAAUGUGAUGCCUUAUCUGGAGGGAGCCCAUGGGAAUGGAGUGGCUGCCUCAGCAAAAUUGCAAGCUUUUACCCAAUGAAAGAACUUCCUUUGCUAUUUAGGCUGAACUCUUGGAGUUUCUCAUUUGAAGCUUUAUGUGCCCAUUAGCCACUUUUUCUGCCAAGUGCUAUGACAGGAUCUAGGAAUAUGGGCAACAAUUGGACCUGGCUCCAUGUUGUAGUGUUCAUGGUCCAUCGAUGGAAGACUCAUGCAGGCAAAACAUUCCAAAGCCACAGCACUUAGUCAUCUGGUGCUGAGCAGCACUGAGAGGUAGAAAAGGACACUGAAUGGACUCGGAUACAGGAUUCCAUCUUUGUCUACUUGUCUUGAACAGUGAUGCUGAUAUUUUGCAGUGGUUGGGGCUUUCCAGCUUCUUCACCAAGCUCUGAACACUUCAUUGCAUCCUGUGGGCAACUGUGAGAAACAGAUAGACUAAGGCUUUCAUUAUCCCUGGGAUCUUUACUGAUGAAGAGCCCAAGGCUUAGAAAGUAAGUUGCUUGCUUGAGGUCACUACCUUGUACAGAACUGGGAUUGAAACUCAGGUAAUUUCUACAGAGCCUUUGCCUUUGAACUUUAUACUCUAGUAUACUCUUAUUUCCAUCAACUUUCAGAUUUGAAAAUGUCUGACUAUGUCGGGGGUUAUUAGCAUGUGUAGCGCUUUUCCUGAUUCAGAGAUUAUCAGUUCUUUACUAGAAUUGCACUCUCUGGCUUUCUGUGACUCUCUUUCCCUCUAUGUAACUCCCCUCUUCUCUGUCUGUCUGUCUGUCUGUCUCUGUGUGUGUUCAUGUGUGUAUAUGUGAAUAUCUGUAUAUAAUUUGAGAAUUAAAUUCACAAAUAUAAAACCCAGGACACAGAGAUCAAUUUGUCUGAAUAAAAUAUGCAUGUAAGAGGGACAGACUGAUGUCAUGGUUUGGGCUGGGAAGACCAGACCAACUCUUACAUAGAGUGGACAGCAUAUAUUUAACAAGAUUAUAGCAGAGAAUUUCCCAGAUCCAGGGAGAGAGAUGGCUACCAGACCAAAGGGUCUUAGAACUCCAAACCGACAACACAGCAAAGACAUAAACACAUUAUGCUUUAGUUAAAGCACUAUUAAUAUGGAACAAAGAAAGAAUAUGGAAAAUGACAGAAGAGAAACUCCAAGUCACAUAUAAAGACAAAUUCAUCAAAAUAUAGAGAUUUCUGAAGAGAAACUCUAAGAGCCAUCAGGGCAUGAAAUGAUGUAUUUCAAGAUCUGAAAGACAAUAACUGCCAGCCUUGAUGAUUAUACACAGCAAAGCUACUCCUAAUGAUAGAAGAAAAUGGAAGACUUUCUGUUAAACACAAACUAGAAGACUCUAUGAUUACAGAAGAUACAGAAGGAAUCUUACACACUGAAGAGAAAUAUAAACACACCCAUGAGGUCACAGGGAAGAAUAAAUUGCACCAAAAUAGAAAAGCAACUAAGGGUUAGUAAAGCACCAACCAAUAUGAAAACAACAAAGCAACGGAAAUUAGCACAUACCUUUCACUAGCAACUCGUGAUGGUUCCUGUUCUCUGAUUAUAAGACACACAACAGCAGGUUGCAUAGAAAAUAGGACCUAACUGUUAGUUAUCUUUAAGAAAUGUACCUUAUUGCCAAAGACAAGGAAGCCUUAGGGUGAGAGGUUGGAAAAAGGUAUUCCAAUCAAAUUGAACUGAAAAAAAAAAACCAGGUAUAGUUAUACUAGUAUUUCACAAACUAGAUGUCCAACUAAAGUAAAAGAGACAAAGAUAAUGUAAGGGGAAAAAAACCUCCUAAAUUUCUAAACCUACACACAUCAAACUCAGUGUAGUCAGCUUUAUAAAGCAAACACUACUUGCUGGAAAGGCACUGACUGACCUCAAAAAAUAUUUUUUUAUGAGUGACUACAAUAAUCCACCCUUAAUAGCAGACUGGUCAGUCAGAACAACAGACAAGCAUACGAACAAACAAACAAACAAAAUCUUCCCAGAGCUAAAUGAUAUCACAGAUUAAAUGGAUUUAAUAGCAUCUACAGAAUAUUAUACCCAAGUACUACAGAAUACACAAUAUUUUUCUGAAGCCCAUAGAAUUUUCUCUAAAUUGAACCAUAUUUUAGAACAUGAAUCAUUUCCUAACAGAGACAAGAAAAUUAAAAUGAUUUCACAUAUCUUAUCUGAUCACAACAAAACAAGAUAGGACAUCAACUAGAAGAGAAACUACAAAAAAUAUUGAAAUCCUUGGAGACUUAAGAAGACACUAUUUAAAGUUAACUAAUGGGUUAUUAAAGAAAUCAGGAAGGAAAAUGUAAAACUUGUAGAAUCAAAUAAUGAUGAAAAUACAACAUAGCAGGACCUGUGACUUCCCAUGAAAACAGUUUUAUGAGUGAAUUUUAUAGCUAUAUAUUUUAAAAAUCAAAUGAUCUCGAACAAGCAACUUAAUGAUGCACCCAGUGUCUGAGAACAUUAUGAAGCUAAACCCGUAAUCAGUGUAUGGAAAGAAAUAAGAAACACCAAUGCAGAAAUUAAUGAAACAGAAAUGAAAAUAACACAACAAAGAACCAUCAAACAAAGAGUUCUUGAAAAAAAUAAUAAAUAAACAAGACCUCACAAAGCCUUAGUUAAACUUCCACAAAAAAAAGACCCCAAUUAAUUAAAUUAGAGAUGAAAGGGAAAACCAUAUAACAAGUACCAAUGAAAUGUAGAAGCUCAUUAGCGCAUACUCUGCAAAGCCACUUUCAUAUAAAUCUGAAAACCUAAAAGAAAUGAACAUAUUUCUAGACUAACCUACUAAUGUCAGCCAACAGGACUUAAAGCACUUCAACAGAUAUAUUGCAAGCUGUAAAUUUAAAUCAGUAAUAAAAUUGUCUCCUAACUGUAAAGCCCAGGCCUGGGGCGGGGGAGUAUUUCACAGAUGAAUUCUAAAAAGUCUUUAAAGAAAAAUUAAUAUCAAUGCUUUUUAAAUUCUUCUACAAAACAGAAAAGAAGGGAAUGCCACCAAGCUCAUUUUAUGAAAUCAGGAUUAUCCCGAUAAUCAAACUGGAUCUGGACAUAACCGAAAGGAAAAUUAUCAGCAAAUCUGCCUGAUGAACAUGAAUGUAAAAUUAUUAUUAUUAGUAGUAAAAUUCUUACAAAUCAAACUCAAUGAUACAUCAAAAGAUCAUUCAUCAUGAUCAAGUUCCAUUUAUUCCAGAGAUCAAAGAUGGUUUCAAUGUAGACAUAGAUUGAAGGACAGAAAUUAUAUGAUCAUAUUGCUAGGUAAAGAAAGGCCUUGGACAAAGUCCAGCCUCUUUUCAUAAAAACCCGAGGAAGCUAAGAAAAGAGUGAGCCUAGAUCCAACAUCACUCUAAAUGCAGAAAAACUCAAAGCACCUCCUCGAAAAUCAGGAAUAAGACAGGAUCCUUCCCUUUCUUUACUUUUGUUCAAUAGAGUACUUGAAGUCUUAGUUAGAGCAAUAAGACAAGAUGUGUAAUUAACAGGGACACAAAUAGGAAAGAACUCUGGCUAUAUAAAAAUGAACUUCAAAUAACUCCCACUCCCAACUAGAACUUAGGUUAAUUUAGCUCGUUUCUUUUCUAAUACACAUUUCCCACAUGCACAUCUGUUCACUGAUUGGAAACACGUGCUACAAGGGAUUUUUACCUAUAGCUCUCCACUGGGCUUCACACUCUGCAGUUCCAUAAGUUCUGUUGUCGAAGUCUAUGUUCAGAGGUGAAACAAAAUACAUGUUAAGCACUAGUUUGUUUUACUGACGUUUAGAUCAUCUCUAACUUUCCCUUAAACAAUGUGACAAUAUUAUGGUAGACACCUCUGAAUGCUGGUCAACAUGCAGUACACGUCUUGUGGUAAGCCUAGGAGACAGUGCCUGAUUAAAGUUGGAUGAACAGUCUCCUGUCUGGCCCAGGCUUUGUCUGGUAGUGGUGGGGGAAGAGAGAAAUGGAAAGGACUAGGGCUGCUUAGGCAGAGCUGAGAGAAGUGGUAGCACUGGAGUUCAGGGAUGAUUCUGGGAAAAAAAGGCUAAAGUGGCAGACAGGAGAUGACUCAUGGUUCCAGUCAGGAACUUCUAAGAGAAAUAGUGAAGUUAGGAGACAGGAAGAUUGGCUAUGGCUUUCUGAGGGGUCAGCAGAGGUCACAGGUGUCCAUUUAAGUAGAAAGGUCUAAUGACUUUCUCCCCUUUUCUCCUUUUCCCUCUCUCCCCCUCCUUUUCUGUCCCUCUCCCCAUCCUCUGAGCUCCCCUGUGCCAGACCUUGUGUUGACUGAUGAGCAUCCCUAAGUAACAAGACAUGGCCCCUGCCAGACCACAGGCUUCCAGUCUAACCAAAGAGUCACCUGUAGGCCUGGCAUGUAAGGAAAGAGUCCAGGGAAGGGGAACUUGGGAGUCCCUUCUCAGGUAAGUUCGAUGACUGGAGUUGGGUGGGGUGGUUGCUGUGUCUGAGGUAUGAAGAGUCUUCUGGAGAGCUACCAUUUGUGGGAGGAGCCAAGUCAUACUAUCCCCACACCCCAGGCACCUUUUGGAGAAGGCUCUGCCUUGAGGGCACGUAGCUCAAGGAGCUAGCUUGUUUUGUCCUCAGUUUCCCUGUACCAAGGAGGCUGAUAGUAGAGCUAUCUUGACUGUGCAAUCAUGGCCUUGACUUUGCUCUCUCAUAGCCAUCUCAGGCUCUCAGGAGCAUGUUUGUACUCCAAAGUCUAAGAUGCAGUCAUCAUGGAGACAAUGUCUCUCACCUGCUCUUUGUCUACGUCAUGGUGCCCUGGGAGACUGACGCCAUCAGGGGCUGGCAGAUACUCUCCUGGGUCCAGCUUUCAGUUUGUAGAGUGUGUGAUUGUUCUGCCAGGAGACUUCAUGAAUGAGGCUGGCUCUUUUGAUAAGGGCAGCAGUCCCAUGGGAUCAGGGCUGGUGCCUGAGUGACCUCAUUAAAUACUUCGUUCAAGGUCCCUUCUCCAAAUAUAACCACAUUGGCGGGUUAAAACUUCAGAAUGUGAAUUUUAUGAGGGGGCACUGUUUAAUCUACAACAGAAGUCUGUUCCUCUAAAACAAGUCACAGCUCUGAUCUUCUAUGUGACAUUGGCAAGUGCUCCAAGCUUCCAGGCAUGGCCGAUAAGAACAGAAAGCUCCCAAGGGGAACUGGAGUUAAGUUCCUUCUAAAGCCACAGGAGCAAUUGUCAUUCCUCUUGUUUCUGUCACACUUGGAAUAGCAGGCCACCAGUCCAAUUCUUGUGAGUGGUGAGCAGAACUCACCAGCACAUCUGUGAAUCUCUGCAAAUCCAAUAUGCCUCAUGACUUAGAGAUAUCCCGAACACUGAGCGACAGUUCCAAGCUGAUGUGUGCAGAUACUGAGAAGCAAGCCUGUGGACUUGGUUUGGCCGGCUAAGCACGGGAGGUUUGAGAACUGUCACUCAAACUGACCCAGGUUAAUCAAAAGAUUACAUAAAAAAUGUGAGAUAGGCUAACCCCAGCCUCUUUGAGAAAAGCUCCAGGGUUCUAUCUCCCUACUGGUUCUUGCUUAUUUCUCUUCCACCAAACAACUUCAUCUAAGCAUGGAAUGAAAAUUGGUCAGACUGGACUCCCAGCUGGAAAUACUUGCUGAGUGGUGUUUUCUCCCUUCUCCCUGAAGUUCUGACUGCUUGGCCAAUUUUCCCUCACUUUCUGUUAUUUGACUGAAACCAACCUGUAAGUAAUGGUGUUGAGAGCUCAGGACUGGAGGCUGGCAGCCUUCUCUGAAAAUGUGAUUCUUCAGUCUCAAUGAAGCUCUUGACAGCAAAACUCCAGAUUCCAAAGUGGCUUCCCUGAAGAGAUCCAGCUGCUACAACAAUUCUCAACAGACUCACUGGCACAAUGAAUAGGAAGCUGGGGUGGAGGACUCUCUGCUGACAGGAUGAGGAGCAGCUUGGUGGGGCUUCUACAGCUUCAUGAGUGAAGAAGAAUGCGCCUGCUUUGGCUCCAUGGGACCUGGUGUCUAGUGCCAGCUCUACCACUUUCCAGCUGGGCCAGGAAAAUUCGCAUCUGUAAAAUAAUAUGUGUAUUAUUUGAGUGUGGCCCAUAGGAGGUAGGUGCUCAGUUCAUAAAUGUUGAUAAAAUAUCUCCAUCCUCACGUACUUAAAUACUAACCUUUCCUCUCUAGCAAAGUCUGUGUAUCUCUUACACCACACACACACACACACACACACACACACACACACACACACACACACACACUGCCCUUUUGAUACAAACUUCCCUUUGCUGACUCACUUUCUCGUGUUCACCUCUCUGUUGCACAGCGUCACUCUCUGGGGUAUAGACCCACUUACAGUUAUCUAAAGAGUUUCUGACCUUGGUACUAGAGAGGGGUGGGUCUGAGACCUCUACCAUACAUGCAUACCCAUCUCAGCCCCUGAACCCCUUCUUGAUAUCCUGAUACAGCCAAGCAUUCCAUGAAGGGAGUCCACGUGUGGAUUUCCUGGACCCUUGCAACAGUACCCAGAGAUAGUCAGGAGGAAAUGAAUUCAUUUUACAGAUUUAACCAACCAACCAACCAAACAAACAAACAAAAACCGAGCCACAGAGAGGCCAUUGCCAGGUGGCAACACCAGAGUGGAACCGUUCCUCUAUCCGGGCUGGAGUUCUUUCUGGGACACGUUGGGGAGUGGAGGUGGCGUAGGAUGUUACUUUACCUGUCAGUCCCUCAGUCCCAGAGGCUCUAGAACACACUCACAUGUAUGAGGACAAAUAGCGAACUUCUCUAAGUCACAGCUCCCUGCCUUUUCCUCCUGGAAUUGAAGCCACUGAACAUUGCUGCAGCUGUGCUCUGUGUAUGUUCUGUUCCCAGCUCCAGGCCUCCUAACCCCCAACACUAGAUGCUCAGUCCCCCAGGGGAUCCUGGAAGGACAAUGUCCUAGUUCUGGAAGGACCACUGAAAGGUAAGAUUAGGGAGAGAUGGGAGGAGGCUCUCAUGAUUCUCCCCACACCAGCCACGCAAUGGACACCGGCCAACCCUAUGCAGCUGGGUAUCUGGGCGAUGUCAUGAGAGAUGGCCACCCAGAGCUUUUGCCUCCUCGAAUUGCCUGGGUCUGUGGGCUUCAGUCCCUGAAUAUUGAGUCUGCAGAUUCCAGCGUCUCUUUCCCCCCACCUCCCCCCAAAAAACUCAUUCUCCCUUUGAGAGGGCAUGAAUAUUUAAAGAGAUUUUUCCAGCCACCAGAACCGCAACACAUUGCUGCUCUUCCUUUAAAUUUAUGUCCAGAAAGUUUGCCCGAGUUCCUCUCCAUGUCCCACCCUCCGUAGCAUGGAAUAUCGAAUGGAGUUCCUGAGAAGUUUGUUUCCUUUUUGCCAGGAGGGUUAUCAGGGCUGUUGGCUGUGUUUAGGGGCUGAGGAUGUGUGUGUAGUCCUCCUGAUUCUCCUCCAUGGCCACACAGAGAGUUAAAUCUGAAAACCUCCUGACACUUCAGUACUUGGAGAAGCAAGAUAAUCAUGCAUGGGGAGGAACAGUCGUGUGAGACAGCAGAUCAGUGGACAGAGUCCAGGCGCACAGGACCCCCGGGUCCCAUGGGGCCAGCCUCAGCAGUGACUGCUGAACUGAUCAGGGUUCUGAGUUUGUUACUGCAUAAUGACUACUCCAGCCCCUGGGCCACCUCCUGCUGGCCUCCUUCAGCAUCUCUGCUGGGCAGAAUUCCUCUCAGCCCACUGCAUCAAACCUCUCUCUUAUCAACAAGACACCAUACUCCCAGGAUAAGUUUUUAAAACUCCAGUCACGCAAAGCUGCUCCCGAGACUCCGGGAGGGUUCCGUUCCUCUGUCCAUCUAUAACCAAUCAGCUACACAUCACCAACUCUAUUUCUAAAGUUCCGGGCAAUUACAGCCUUCUGAGCUCCCUGGCUGGGCGCCCACCCACCCAGAGCCAGGGCCCAGGUUGUCAAUGGACUCUAGUCUCAGGCGCUUAUUUCUCAUCCUUCUUAGAGUCAAGACUACUGCGCACCAGGAAUGAUACACUCAGCACACCGAGGCAAAGUGACCAGUCAGGUCACAUCAAAGCAGGGCGCAGUAGUGGAAGCCAGUCUCCCUACCUUUGCU